rnacentral:tRNA from 1 species
AGCCCACGAGGUGAAAUACACCAAAAUGCAAAUUUGGAGAAGCGCCCCAUAAGGGAGCCGGGGCUU